CCUACGGGAGGCAGCAGUGGGGGAUAUUGCACAAUGGGGGGAACCCUGAUGCAGCGACGCCGCGUGGGUGAAGAAGCGCCUCGGCGCGUAAAGCCCUGUCUGUAGGGAAGAAAAUGACGGUACCUGAAGAAGAAGCCCCGGCGAACUACGUGCCAGCAGCCGCGGUAAAACGUAGGGGGCAAGCGUUAUCCGGAUUUACUGGGUGUAAAGGGGGCGCAGACGGCGUUGCAAGCCAGGAGUGAAAGGCCGGGGACCAACCCCGGGACUUCUAUUGGAACUGGGUGGCUGGAGUGCAGGAGGGGCAGGCGGAAUUCCUGGUGUAGCGGUGAAAUGCGUAGAUAUCAGGAGGAACACCGGUGGCGAAGGCGGCCUGCUGAACUGCAACUGACGUUGAGGCCCGAAAGCGUGGGGAGCAAACAGGAUUAGAUACCCUUGUAGUC
rnacentral:rRNA from 1 species